GUGUUCCUACGGGGCGCAGCAGUGGGGAAUAUUGGGCAAUGGGCGCAAGCCUGACCCAGCAACGCCGCGUGAAGGAAGAAGGCCCUCGGGUUGUAAACUUCUUUUAUUCGGGACGAAACAAAUGACGGUACCGAAUGAAUAAGCCACGGCUAACUACGUGCCAGCAGCCGCGGUAAUACGUAAGUGGCAAGCGUUAUCCGGAUUUACUGGGUGUAAUGGGCGUGUAGACGGGGGAGCAAGUCCGACGUG
rnacentral:rRNA from 1 species